rnacentral:rRNA from 1 species
AUUGAACGCUGGCGGCAGGCCUAACACAUGCAAGUCGAACGAGUGGCGGACGGGUGAGUAAUCUCUGGGAAACCGCCUGAUGGAGGGGGAUAACCACUGGAAACGGUCUCUUAUAACGCAUACUAUCGGAUGUGCCCAGAUGGGAUUAGCUAGUAGGUGGGGUAAAGGCUCACCUAGGCGACGACCCCUAGCUGGUCUGAGAGGAUGACCAGCCACACUGGAACUGAGACACGGUCCAGACGCCUACGGGAGGCAGCAGUGGGGAAUAUUGCACAAUGGGCGAAAGCCUGAUGCAGCCAUGCCGCGUGUAUGAAGAAGGCUUUCGGGUUGUAAAGUACUUUCAGCGGGGAGGCGUUACCCGCAGAAGAAGCACCGGCUAACUCCGUGCCAGCAGCCGCGGUAAUUC